AACCAAGACUGAGAAGACCAAAGCAUGUCUGAGGACACACUGCCAGGAAGGGGGGCUGCUGUGCUUGGCGCCCAAGACCUUCCAGAGCCUGUCCAUUCACCCACUCCCCCGGAGAGUCCAGAAGUCAACUGGGAGUCUUCUUGAGAACCCAAGAGUCUGGAGGGAAGAUUUUAUUUGCACCUUCCUGUCAGAGCUAAUUAUUCAAUGAAAAACUGAGUAAUAGAGGCAUGAUAUCACCCAGGAUCACACAGUGGAGGAGCUGGGACUGGAAUCCAUGAACUCUAACAACAAAGUAAAUGUUCUUACUACCGAUAUCCCAGUUAUUUUGAAUGUGCCAUUCGUCUGGGAGACCGGAGUGAAUACUGCAAAGACCCUGGUUUGAAUCCUGAUGGCACUACUGGGUGUUUUGGGCAAGUUCCUUGACCUUUCUGUUUCCUCAUCAGUAAAGUUCAGAGAACAAAAACUAAUGUACAGUUUAUUGUGGGGAUCAAAAGAGGUCUGAGACAGGAAGCAUCUUACUACCACAGUCUGGCACCAUGGAUCAAUGACUGCUUCCUUCAAGUUUCCCAGCCCACUGUGUUAGCCCUCAUCCAAUGAUGAUACGUCGGUGGAAAAUGUAUUAAACCCUCGAUGUGUAUCCCAAGAAAAAUAAAUCCCCUCGACCUGCGAGACA